AUCUCAUUAUCAUUUACUUUAGCUUUUUUCAAGUAAACUAACUGUGCAGCGUUAACUACUGGUGUAUAGUGGCUUCAGUUGUAUUUGAAAACUGCAGGUUAAGAACUAGAUUUUAUUUUGACUGUUUAUAUCUGGAUUACAGAUCUUUUCGUACUGAGGUGUGAACUGAAAACAAUAAUCCGAAUUUCCUUCAGUCACCUGAGUCUCGACGUUCAAAUUAUAUUUUGUGAAGGAAAGGAGUGAGUAGUAAUUAUUUUAAAACUAAUCAGUUUUGAGCAGUAGUUUAUGGUAAGAACUUGCGUUAGACAGGUUUCAGUUUUUAUCUGGCGUGCAGUUUUAACUUCGUUCUUUUUGUGUAGAGAGAAUUUGUCUACACGAAGAAUUAAUGGCAUUAACCACACAAAGACAUCAUACAAUCGUCAGAUAUUUUUGUGACAGUCAGUCUGCCAGGUGGCUAGAACGGCAUAUGUGUACGUGUGUGUGUUGCGUUCAAUGAUAUGCCUGAUAUGCUACAUUAGGAUUGCCAUUAGACGAGAAGCAAGAGGCAGGCUGCGUACUGUGAAAGCACCUUCACGCUGUGCGAGGACGCCUUCUGGCAGAACUGAGAUCUUUAAUGUACUGACCGAUGGACGGCAGCACAUACCAAAAUUUGGAAGCUACACCACUUCCGGUGUCCUGAAUCCCUCUGAGUGGACACGUCGCAAUGACAUUAUUUCGAUUGUGCUGUAGCAGCAACAAUAAAACGAGAAGUGGCGGAAAAUACGGAUGACUUGGAAUUUUAAUUCCUGUACUGAAGUUCCGCAAAAUAGACGCGAGGAGGCAAAGGCUCCGAUGAUAAUUUCGGUGUUUUGCUCUGAGAUAUCGCUUAGCUGAAGAGAGACAGUGAGAGAGAGAGAGAGAGAGAGAGAGAACGAAAGCCGGAUAACGUACGAAAUUACCGACUAUGAAGAAGAGAAGCCAUUUAUUCGUGGAAGAGCGCUCCUAAGUGGAGUGUGAACCGCAUUCCCGUCUGUAAGGACACGGCCGGCUCUGAGAGAAAAGCACGUCAGUGGCGAGAAAGAGGCGACGGGCAGCGAACACCGCUGUACACCGUUCAGGAGCGGCCUCUCCGGUAGGCCGGCGCUGCAGACACCCCUCCAGCCUUGUCUGGACUCCCUCUCAGUCCCCGGCGGGGACAGCAUGAACGCGCUACUGCUGUACCGGCGUUGACCACCGCUUGUGAUCGCUUCCACGGCCGCUCGCUGCUCAUUCCGUGAGGAAGGACCGCUGCUUCUUCAACAGGACGCAGCAGCCGCAGCAGGCCCUACAACGUGCACCCGCAACGACAAAGGUAGGCGGGAUGGAGGGUGAGGCGGAGGCGACCACGCUGUCGCUGGCGCUGACCAACUGGACGACGGCGGCGGUGACGGCUGCGGCCUCGGCUGCUGACCUCGACGGCAAC